GAUCAGGCUCAGGAUGAACGCUGGCGGCGUGCUUAACACAUGCAAGUCGAGCGAAGCACUCUGCUUUGAUUCUUUCGGGAUGAAGAGCAUUGUGACUGAGCGGCGGACGGGUGAGUAACGCGUGGGUAACCUGCCUCAUACAGGGGGAUAACAGUUAGAAAUGGCUGCUAAUACCGCAUAAGACCACAGCACCGCAUGGUGCAGGGGUAAAAACUCCGGU
rnacentral:rRNA from 1 species